AACUGGCUUCUUUCCUGAUGGAGGAGUUACAAGAUCCCAUGUCUCGUUUUUUGCCAAAGCUCUCAUCUCCUCAACCAUUGCAGCCUUCCAUUUUGAGUCCUGUAAUGCCUCUUGCCAAUCCUGCGGUAUAGAAACAGAAGAAACAGACAAAACAAAGGCUCUAUAGGAAGGGGACAGAGCAUUAUAAGAGAUGAAAUGGGAGAUAGGAUGUUUAGUGCAUGUUCUAACUCCUUUUCUAAGAGCAAUAGGAAUAUCAAGGUCAUUGUCAGAAGGGCUGGAAUCAAGAUUAGGAUCAGAAUCAUCAGGAAUUAAAGAAGACUCACCAAGUUCUUGUUCGGCUGUAUUUUCAGAGCCUGAAAUUGGAGAAGACGGUUGAUCAGAUGGAACCAUCUGCCUUUGUUUAAUUAUGAACACCCAUUUACAUCCAACUGGCUUCUUUCCUGAUGGAGAAGUUACAAGAUCCCAUAUCUCGUUUUUUGCCAAAGCUCUCAUCUCCUCAACCAUUGCAGCCUUCCAUUUUGAGUCCUGUAAUGCCUCUUGCCAAUCCUGCGGUAUAGAAAUAGAAGAAACAAACAAAACAAAGGCUCUAUAGGAAGGGGACAGAACAUUAUAGGAGAUGAAAUGGGAGAUGGGAUGUUUAGUGCAUGUUCUAACUCCUUUUCUAAGAGCAAUAGGAAUAUCAAGGUCAUUGUCAGAAGGGCUGGAAUCAAGAUUAGGAUCAGAAUCAUCAGGAAUUAAAGAAGACUCACCAAGUUCUUGUUCGGCUGUAUUUUCAGAGCCUGAAAUUGGAGAAGACGGUUGAUCAGAGGUCUCAUGCUCCAUGGUUGUAUCUGUAUUAGUCCGUCAUGUGUAGGUUUUCAAAUCAGGUCUAUCCAAUCUUUCUAGAGGUUUGGGUUGUUCUCUCCUACUAUCUAUGUCUACAGGAAACUUCCUCUGGAAAGGAACGUUAUUCAUCACCUGUUCCAUCUGAUAUUUCUCCCCCUGAAGAGGUGAUUGGGAAGGAAAAUAAUACUCAAAUUCCCGAAAGGUAUCCAUACUCGCAAAAUAUUUUCUAGAAAGAGGAUGAUAACACCUGUAUCUUUUUUGAGUAGCAGAGUAACCAACAAACACACACUUCAAGGCUCUAGGAUCUAAUUUGCUUAGACCAUUCUGAUGAACAAAACAAACACAACCAAAGACUUUAGGAGGUACAAUAUAAGAGUUUUUUCCUUGAAGAACCUCUAAUGGAGUUUUAAAAUUUAAAGUACGAAG
rnacentral:lncRNA from 1 species